CAAGUCGAGCGAUGAAGUUUCUUCGGAAAUGGAUUAGCGGCGAACGGGUGAGGAACACGUGAAGAAUCUGCCCUCCACUUUGGGAUAACACCGGGAAACCGGUGCUAAUACUGAAUAUUGAAACAUAAGUGGCAUCACUGAGUUUUGAAAGAAUUUCGGUGGAGGAUGACUUCGCGGCCUAUCAGCUAGUUGGUGAGGUAAUGGCUCACCAAGGCAACGACGGGUAGCCGGCCUGAGAGGGCGACCGGCCACACUGGGACUGAGACACGGCCCAGACUCCUACGGGAGGCAGCAGUGGGGAAUAUUGGGCAAUGGAGGAAACUCUGACCCAGCGACGCCGCGUGCGGGAUGAAGGCCUUCGGGUUGUAAACCGCUUUCAGUAGGGAAGAAGCGAAAGUGACGGUACCUACAAAAGAAGCACCGGCUAACUAUGUGCCAGCAGCCGCGGUAAUACAUAGGGUGCAAGCGUUGUCCGGAAUUAUUGGGCGUAAAGAGCUCGUAGGUCGUUUGUUACGUCGGAUGUGAAAACCUGAGGCUCAACCUCAGGCCUGCAUUCGAUACGGGCAAACUAGAGUUUGGUAGGGGAGACUGGAAUUCCUGGUGUAGCGGUGGAAUGCGCAGAUAUCAGGAGGAACACCAAUGGCGAAGGCAGGUCUCUGGGCCAAUACUGACACUGAGGAGCGAAAGUCUGGGGAGCGAACAGGAUUAGAUACCCUGGUAGUCCAGACCGUAAACGGUGGGCACUAGUUGUGGGAACCUUCCACGGUUUCUGCGACGCAGCUAACGCAUUAAGUGCCCCGCCUGGGGAGUACGAUUGCAAGAUUAAAACUCAAAGGAAUUGACGG
rnacentral:rRNA from 1 species